GCGACCCCAGGAUGGGCGAGCCCACCCGCCGAGUUUAAGCAUAUCAAUAAGCGGAGGAGAAGAAACUUACGAGGAUUCCCUUAGUAACGGC
rnacentral:rRNA from 1 species